CCAGACUCCUAGAUGGUGAGGACCUCAGAACCACCAGAACACAUACUCGUUAUUAGAGUAAUAACAACCGCAUCAGCCAUUUUUUUAAACCUGUAUCGUGUGCCAGGAGCAUGGUGAGGAGCCCAACCCACAAGUCGAGGGAGUAACUUGCCUCAGGUCACACAGCAAGUUGGUGAUAGAACUCAAGAGCAGAAUGCAGUUCUACUGACUCACCCUACCCUUACACCUCCCUCCUCAUCAGUGGAGCUCACCUCUGGCCACUCAGAAUCACCAGGUAGUUGCUAACCAUCAACAUGUGCAGGCUCUCCCCUACCAAAUGCAGACUGAAAGCAGAGAGAGGUUGAGGAAGUCUCCCAAGGCCACACAGCCUAACACAAGGACUCAGAUUGAACACAAAGACACUUCCUGGGACAUGCCAACCUGGGGCCAAGGAAGAAGAAAAAUCGGGCACAUGUUCCUCUGCUUAGAAGUGGUACAUGUACUUCUGCUCACAUCCCAUUCAUGCAAACAAGUCAUGUAGUCAAGCCUGACUUCAAUGGGUGAAAAUUAUUCUCCUGGCACAGGAGAAGAUAUCAUCAAGACCCACUGUAAAGACAGUAGAUGUUUUUGAGCAAAUAAUACAACCUACCCUGCAGUGUGCCAGUAAGUGUUUAAUGGUUUUUGGAGAAUAAAAGCUCUAAUGUGUGGCUUUUGCCAAUUUCUGUGGUGUAAAUACUCCCACAAUGGUGAAUUUCAAGCUACCAGUGUCACUGAAUGCAGAGUAAGAAGAGGUGUGUGUAGUCAGCUCUCAGGUGCAGUGUGAGCAGGCUACAGGAUGGCACUAAAGCUACCUCCACUUAAAAUCAGCUACUAAACAUAAAUUGAGUCAUACCUGUUCCACAAUUAGAUUAUGAAACCCUGUUGUGAGCUGCAGGAAGGGAGGCAAGGGAGAGGAAUAUCAUUUGACUCAGCACAAACCUGAAUGGAACCUAAAUUAAGGAUUUUCAGUACGGCUGAGGACUUAGUCCACUCUUCACGUUAUUUGCUAUUUCUCUAUUAAUUGGUAAAUUCAAGUGGAGAGUAAGAAUGUGUGAUCGAAAUAAGAAUCAUCUCUUGUGUCUAUAAAUAAGAUUCAGCCCCAGGUUCCUCCUUUGCAGAAAUUCUUAUUAAGGACUUGGCUCUCCUCCAAAAAAAUAAGGCAGAGAUCAUUCAAAACUCUUUCAUUCCAAAUUACCGCUGAUAGGAACUGCUUGGUGAGUAUAUCUCUCUAUUUUUAUAUGUGCCUACAAUUUUCCAGUAAAAAGUUUGUUUAAAAUGUCUCUGAACUUGGAAUUAGCUCUAAGUUGUUGUUCCUUUCCAAAGAUACUUUUUAAGUACAUUGGCAUCACCACUGUGGUGCCAUUGAGCAAGUUGCUUACGUGUUCUGAAUUUGUUUCCCAAUCUAUAAGAUGGAAUAAUGACUCCUACCUUGUAAGACUGUUAUAAGCUGAAAUAUCUGGCAUUCAUAAAGCACCUAAAAGAGUACCUUGUACGUGGCGGUCACUCAAUAAAUAAUUAUUAUCAUGUAUUACUAAGAAUACUGAUAAGCAUUCCCAUAAUUAUUAUUGAGGCAUGGGACAAGAGAGUUUGAGUCAUUAUUUAAAAUAGGGCAGGCCUUAAUUCUGUAGCCUCAGAGUACCUGGCAGGAGUAAUUUGGCUGUUGAUUUUGAGUGUUAUCUGACAGGAAUGGCUUCUGUAGUUCCUAUGGAGGCAUGGAUACUAUUGUAAUUUAACAGAACUCACCUCUCUAGUUCUUAGUGCAUUAUGUCUAUUGGCUUUGAGCUUGGCCCAAAUCAUCAACAGAAAGACUGAAUGGUUUCCUCAGGGCAAAAUCUUGACCUAAAAGGGUGGAUUCUGAACCCCAUUUCCAGAGAGAAUGGAAAGCUCACUCAACCAUGUUGCAGCCUUUCAUACUGAUUCUGACAUAAAAUACCAAAAGGAAAUCCUACCUCCAACUCCACAAUAACUCUGAGAAGCUGGGAUCCCUGGGUGGCGCAGCGGUUUGGCGCCUGCCUUUGGCCCAGGGCGCGAUCCUGGAGACCCGGGAUCGAAUCCCACAUCAGGCUCCUGGUGCAUG